AUGGUUUUAUAUAUGUUGUCAUUCUUCCACCUACCGAAAGGGGUUCUCCAGCGACUAGACUACUUUAGAUCCAGAUUUUUUUGGCAAUGCGAUAAUGUAUCCAAGAAAUAUCGACUGGUUAGGUGGAGCAUAUUAUGCAGACCUAAAAGUCAAGGGGAGUUUGGAAUCCAAGACCUUGAGAUUAAAAACAUUGCUCUUCUCAGCAAGUGGGUUUACAAACUACUCACUAAGAAUGGAGUAUGGCAGGAAAUCAUUCGCAACAAGUAUGUGGGAUCCAAUGUCAUUUCUCAAGUUCAUGGGAAACCUGGGGAUUCGCACUUCUGGAGUGUUGUGAUGAAGGCCAAGGAAUUCUUUUUCCAAUUUGGGACCUUAUCAGUUAAGGACGGUUCUAAGGUUUGA
rnacentral:rRNA from 1 species